rnacentral:rRNA from 1 species
CCCUUAGAUGUUCUGGGCCGCACGCGCGCUACACUGACGAAUGCAACGAGCUUAUAACCUUGGCCGAAAGGUCUGGGUAAUCUCCAAAUUUCGUCGUGAUGGGGAUAGAUUAUUGCAAUUAUUAAUCUUCAACGAGGAAUGCCUAGUAAGCGCAAGUCAUCAGCUUGCGUUGAUUACGUCCCUGCCCUUUGUACACACCGCCCGUCGCUCCUACCGAUUGAAUGAUCCGGUGAGGCCCCCGGAAUGUGGCAACGGCUUUGGUUCGCCAAACUGAUGCUGCGUGAAGCUGUCCAAACCUUAUCAUUUAGAGGAAGGAGAAGUCGUAACA